GGAAGUGGUCGGAAGGCUGCUAUGUGUAAGAUUUGAGCGGCCACAAAUCGGGAAAAGGUCGCCGGAGGCUGACAAAGCUCCGGCGAGGGUCGUCGGAGACUGGGUUAAGCUCGAAAUGGCAGAAAGUCACUGAGUACUGGACAAAGAAGUUCGAACAGCCUUGAGAAAGGUAAAAAACUCACAGAUCGAGUUUAUAAUCACUUGGAAACUUCAAAAAAUGGACUGGAUAAUGUCGCCGGAGGUCGGAAAACGAGCGGCGAUGGUCGGCAUGUCCAGGAGAAAGUUGCUGGAGGUCAGGUUGCAAUUGGGUCUUUCAAAUAACAAGAGUGAGACAGCUGUCGGCCAAUUUCUUCAACUGGAUCUUCAUAAAAGGCGUCAAAAAGAUCAGUCACAAGACAGACGGAAGGCGCCUGGUGAUUGACAAAAGAUCAGCAAGGAGAGGUCGCCUAGAUCGACUUGCUUUGAUACCAUGUGAACUUUGGGGAGAAAGGAGAACCACCAAAAUUAGGUUCAGAGCUAGGAAAUGGCAAAAGGCACCAGGGGACGACGCAAGAUUUCCUCACGACAGUGCAGGCCAACCCCAUAUCCGUUGGCAUCAUAUAAUCAGGUUAUAUCAGAUGACAUGAACCCUAAGAAGUGCUCCAAAAUCUUGGUAGAGAAAGAUUGGGUAGACGCUACCUGUUCUGUAUGCAUGGAGUGCCCCCACAAUGCCGUUCUCCUCUUAUGCUCUUCUCACGACAAGGGUUGCCGUCCCUACAUGUGCGGCACUAGCGUUCGCUACUCCAACUGCCUAGAUCAGUACAAGAAAGCCUACACCAAAGUCACAUCGCCCCUUCAACUCCAACCCUUGUCCCAAGGCCCGGAUGAUGAUCUGAAUGCUGGCCCCUUUUCUAGUUGGCCCAUCAAGAAGUGCGAAGUAACAGUGCUUGCAUGUCCUCUUUGCAGAGGCCAGGUGAAGGGGUGGACUGUGGUGGAGCCUGCUCGGGAGUAUUUGAAUGCAAAGAACCGGAGCUGCACACAGGAUAACUGCUCGUUUGCAGGAACUUACAAGGAGUUGAGGAAGCACGUGAGGGCGGAUCACCCAUGUGCUCGCCCGCGGGAAGUGGACCCUGCUCUUGAACAAAAAUGGAGAAGGCUCGAGCACGAGCGAGAGCGGGAUGACGUGAUUAGUACGAUAAGCUCAUCGAUGCCUGGGGCGGUGGUGUUUGGUGAUUAUGUGUUGGAAGGAAGUGAUUAUGAGUUUGAUACGGAUGAAGAGGAGGAUGGUUUUGAUGUCGGUGUUUCUGAUGGGAAUGAGGAUUUCCAAGUGGGAAUUGAUAGGAAUUUGGUUAAUGUGUUCCUUCUAUUGCACGCAUUUGGACCGGGUGGACAUGUUGGCCAGAAUAGGGGAAUGAGACAGCAUGAGAGGGAAUCGGACCGAAAUUCAGAUGGAGGUGGUGGUGGUGGUUUUCGUCAGGCAUCUUCUGUCGUCAUUUAUGAUUCAUCUGAUCGAGAAAGUGAUGAUGAUGAUGGCGGCGGUGGUGGUGGUUUAUCACUUGUUCAUCGGCUGCGCCGACAGGGCAGAAUUCUGUUGGGACGGUCUGGGAGGAGACGAGGGCGUAGAGAAGCCGGUGGGGGCCAGAGAGAGAGAUAGAUGGUGGUGGAGAAAGGAUGGUAUUGGGAGAAGAUUCUUGGGGUGUCGAUGUUUAGGAGUAGAGACAACAAGGAAAAAGGGUUAGUUCCCUUUGAAUUAUGCAAAGUGCAUUUAUUUCUUCUUGAAUCUGUAUCAAUGGAUGUGCAAUGAAGGUGGAAAAAGCUGUUUUUCCCGUUGUAAUUUAAACUUGUCAUUUCGUUGUUCCAUUAUCCUUUACCUUGCAUCCCUGAAAAUCCAACCAUGUGAAUUUCUCCUUUGUAAGCAAGUGUUCAAUUUCAAUGUAUUUCUUUUGCAAUAUUUAAUUCA